CAGGACUCCACGGAGUCUGCGCGGAAGGGCGGGACGAACUGUGGCUAGGGUGGAGGUGGGAGGUCGGGGGCGUCCCAGCGCGUUAAGCGUGCGAGUGAGCGAGGUGUACCAGCGGGCAUGGAUGACAGGAAAGAAUGCCUAUCCAGAAAAACACAAAACACACACGUCAGGCCUCUUGAGCCCAAGCCUGCAUAUUUACAUCCAGAUGGCCUGAAGCAACUGAAGAAUCACAAAAGAAGUGAAAAUGCUGAGGCAACUGAAGAAUCACAAAAGAAGUGAAAAUGACCGGUUCCUGUCUUAACUGAUAAGACAAUCCCCUGUCCUCCUGCUCAUUGCUCCGUUAAAAAGAUCCACCUACAACCUCGGUGCUCAGACCAACCAGCCCAAGGAACAUCUCACCAAUUUUAAAUUGGAUUCCCAGCCAUAUGAAGACACCCUAGCUGGAUGAUCAGUUCUUGUUAAGAAUCUGACCCGUCAAACUCUACAACCUCGAUGGACUGGACUCUACUUAGUCAUCUGUAAUACCCCAACUGCCGUCCUCCUGCGGGACCCUCCCCAUUGGGUUCACCGUUCCAGAAUAAAGCCGUGUCCAUUGGACAGCCAGCCUGAUCUCUUCCUCUUAGAAGUCACAAGUACUCACCCCUACUUCCCUUAAACUCACCCACAUUUCUGAAGAACAUAGUAACCCUUAUGAGCCUAAUACCUCCUUUCAUUUUGUUAGGUCUAUUCUUCCUUACUGCAACAGGGCUUUACGCAGUCACCCCCACUACUUAGACUACAUCCCAAAAACUUCUCAUCCCUGCUAUCUUCUGUCUAGUCAUACUCCUAUUCUUCGUUUUCACCUAUCCAUAAAUGCCCUGCCCUUGUCUACACUGCCGGCUUAUACUUUUUCUCCAAACCAUCAUAGCUGGUCCUGGUCUUACCCCCUAACCACCACUCUUAACUCCCUCUUGGAAUGGAUACAUGACCUCUGCUGGAAAAGCACACUCCAAUUCUUUCACCCACUUUACAUUUCCAGUUUUGCCUUACACAAGGUCUCGUCUUCCUUUGUGGCUCCUCCACCUACAUGUGUCUGCCUGUUAAUUAGACAGGCACAUGUACACUAGUUUUCCUUACCCCCAAAAAUCAAUUUGCAAAUAAGACUGAACAGCUUCCUGUUCCCCUCAUGACACCAACACUUCACUAGUAUUUUAUUUUGUUUUUCUUAUUAUUAAUAUAAGAAGACAGGAAUAGGCCUUGACUUACUCACUGCUGAAAAAGGAAGACUCUGUAUAUUUUUAAAUGAAGAUUGUUGUUUUUACCUAAAUCAAUCUGGCCUGGUAUAUGACAACAAAAAAACUCAAGGAUAGAGCCCCAAAACUGGCCAACCAAGCAAAUAAUCAUGCUGAACCCUGUUAGGCACUCUCCAAUUUGAAGUCCUGGGUUCUCCCAAUUCUUAGUCGUUUAAUACUUGUUUUUCUCCUCUUAUUCAGACCUUGUGUCUUCCGUUUAGUUUCUCAGUCCAUACGAAACCGUAUCCAGGCCAUCACCAACCAUCCUAUACGACAAAUGCUCCUUCUGACAACCCCAGAAUAUCACCCGUUUCCAUAAAAUCUUCCUUCUGCUUCAUCUCUCCCACUCUAGGUUCCCGCGCCACCCCUAAUCCUGCUCGAAGCAGCCCCGAGAAACAUCGCCCAUUCUCUCUCCUUACCACCCCCCCAAAAUUUUCCCCUCGCCGACACUUCACCACUAUCUUGUUUUGUUUCUCUUAUUGCUGUAAGAAGACAGGAAUGUCAGGCCUCUGAGCCCAAGCCUGCACAUACACAUCCAGAUGGC